GAGAGGACAAGCCCUGGGAGCAUCCACCAUGAGGAUUCGCUUUCUUGCAUAGAGACAGCCGAUGAGCUCAGAAGCCAUGUGAGAUUGCUGUUCUGGAAAGAAGGACUGAAGAGAGAAGACAAAUAAUUCCAAAUGCAGCCAGAAGGCAGAGAUAACACAAUCAUGAAAGCCUGCUUUCCUCGCCCUUAGAACAUACUUUUCAAUCAUGAUUUCUAAAAUGAAAAGGUGGGCCAGUCAUGCCAAGUUUCCAACCAAGAAUCCAAAACUAUGCCCAGCUUCCUUUGCCACUCUGAAGCUCAGUUCACGGUGACAGCAGCUGAGCACCUCCAACCACCCGGGUGGUCCUGCAGAGGGUGGCCUUCAGCCCAGAAAUGCACCCCUCAGUCUGCUUACUCCAGGUUCACCAGGACUGUUUCCCCAGGGACAUUUUUGGGUUGAGCACAUCAUGCAUUUUUCCUAGGGGUGGGAUACAAUGCCCAAAGCCAGGCCUUAAUGGAGAACUUUCCUAACUUUCUUGGGCUGAGGAAUUCUCCAUGCAGCCCAGUCAUUCUUUAACUUCCCUUUUUCAUUGCCCACAGAAGCUGUUCCAAACCCUUGUCACUUCCUUUUAGAAGUUAAUGCUUCCCGAGUGUCUGUCCUGUCUUCCAUUUACAUUCAUUCAACCACUCUGCAUUGAGGUCCUAGCAUACAUCCAGCUCUGUGCUGGGCACACUGCAUUGAAUGAGCAGACAUGGCUUAUUCUUGUCAUGAUGCUGACGAUCAAGUUUAUAGUCAGUCUCCUCUUGCUCCUCACUCUUCCCAGAUCAUCACAUCCCUUCUCCAAGGCUUCAGUUACCACCUUUACCCCGAUGGCUCCUUCUUUCGUCAGAUGACCUGGAAAUCUAUCCAAAGAGAUGAAUGUCACAUAGGCAUCCUGACUUGUAGUUGACAAUGAGGAAAACAGUCCCCAUGAAUAGAGGAUGGUUGAAAAGCAGAAUCACAACUCUUAUCCCAGAAUGCCUUUAUGCUGGACCACUUGCCCCAAUCCAGAUGAAACCACCAUGGUGGAAACUUGUUUCCCUUUCCCAUCUGCAUAGCAUGGAUAAUAUUCUUCCCUUAAAUCCACCCCCACAGCAGCGUUAAAGUCAGGCUAGCACACUUAGCAAAAUUUUAUUGAAGGUGCCAAGAGAAUUAACUAUCCACCAGGUGUAACCUGCAGUUGGCUAUCCAUACAGUUUCUCCUAAAGUCCGCUGGCCUAGACCUUCCUCUGCCUAGCUGAGCCACCCACUUAGAGCAGAAGUCACCUCCCUUCUUCAUACCCCAUUACCACCCAGCAAACCUUCCACACAUCUACAAUGUUCUCACAGAGAAGGGAAGUAGCCCUCUUUCCCUGCUAUAUAAGGUCCAUUUCCUAAGACCACAGCUCCUAACCCAGGAUUGGCUUCUUCCUAGAAAAGUUGAUCUGAUAAAUUUCCCUCCCUUUAGGGUGAUUUCUCUCAUCUGUAUAGAUUGUGGCCUUUCUGCAUGACCUUGAACAGUAGCCUAAUUCUGUACAAAAAAAUAUAUGGACUAUGUUAAGAGGUUGAGAAGGACAGUGGUCACUUCCAAAGGCACCUAGCACUCAGUAUGAAUAAAAUCAAACUCAACAGGUCCUUCUGGUAGCUUCCCCCAAAUCCGCUCAUCUUUUCUUACUCUUAUUUUAAACAAUGGCAUCAGCAUCCCCAAAGUCAUCCAGCCCAGAAUCACAGGGGUCACCAUGGUGCCUCUCAUUCAGAUUCCCAUACCUUCAACUUCCUAAGUGUCUUUGCAAAAUGCUCCAUCUUCCCCUUGUCUAUGCCUUGGUUCAGGCACUCUCAUCUCUACCUGACCAAGGCAGAGUCUUCCUUGAUGUAGUCAGGGUGCUCUUUCUCAACUUAUAAUCCCACCAGAGAUGCAGAAUUAUUGUUUUGGGCCAGAUUUCCUGGGUUCAAAUUCAUUAGACUACUGUAAUCCUGGGCCAGGUGUUUACCUCUCUGUGGCUCCGUCAUCUCAUCUGUAAAAUGAGGAGAAUGUACCUUCCUCUGAGUUACUGCAGAGAUCAUAGGUGGCUAUUCCUAAAAUGGCUCCCAGUGAACCGUCCCUCUGGUCUGCACACCCACAUGUAAUCCCCUCCCGUUGAACAUGGACUGUACCCAGUUACUUGCUUCUAAUAAAUAGAAUAUAGCCAGAGGGAGGAGACAUCCCUUUCAUAAUUGGAUUUGAAAGACA